UCAAAAUGCAUUUAUCAUUAAAAUGCUAUAUUACUAUAAAAUUUCAAAAAGUACAUGUGAAAUAGUACAACCUAAUCACUGUUUAAUAAUAUUCAAUAUGGCUCAUUUUUAAAAAAAAAUAUUGAAAAUGGUUUGGCUAUCUAAGCAAUUCCAGCCUUUAUCUUUCUCACAGUCCAGCAACCGAGAAGGUGGAAGAUCAAAGACUGCUACGGCCUAUUUUGGAGAUGCUCUGCCAGGUGUUUGAGGAAUUAUAGAGAAACAAACACCCAGGAUUGUGAAAAUAAAGCAGUCACUUGUGGCAAACUGAAUGGAGCCUCACUUACCUGGGCCCCACUCACCACAUUUGCAAUGAGGAAUGAGGCCAGUUGGUGUACACAGCCGGCACAGACGCCAAGAAACC
ensembl:lncRNA